CUCUUUCUCUCUUUCUCUCUGGAAAAAUCCUAUAAUUUGUUGAUGUGUAAUCGAGUUCAUCUUCUGCAGGAAUCAAUGGAUGGUAUCUGGAACUUCAUAAUAGAUAAGGAUAAUAACAUGGCUGAAGAUGUUAGCUACCAUAACGUGGUUCAUUCGUUUCAAUUCCUUGUCAGAAACUUCUGCAGGGUUACAAGCAAGGAAGUGGUAUAUUAUGUAGCUGCUGCGAUACAGAGAUAACACGCUGAAUGCAGUGACUAAUCUAGGGUUAGUUUAUUGGUGUAUAUAUAUAUUCAAGAUCGGCAGCUUUCUUCUCUCCUACUAUCAUACUUGAGGUUUAUUUUCUUCUCUGUCAAAAAAAAUAUUAUUUAGUUGAUUGUGGAUUCGCCAAUCGUCAUCAAUUUUUAGUUCCAUUCCGAAGUACUCGCUAUCAUCUCCAAGACUUUAGGGGACAAGGAAAAGAUCUUGUAACUGCAAAUGAGUUGUUUAACCAUCGUCACUCUAGCUUACGCAAGAUUGACGUAGUAGAGAGGAUUUUCAGCAUCUUCAAGUCAAGAUUUCUCAUUUUCAAAUAUGCACCACCCUUUCCAUAUAAGACGCAAGUAGAGUUAGUACUUGCUUGUGUUGUUUUACAUAAUUAUCUUCGUCAAGAAUGUCGUUCAGACUUGUUUGAAGAUGUUAGACAUGCAGAAGGAACUGACGCUGAUGAAAGAGUUGAUGAUGGGAAUAAUGAAGAAGAACAGCUUCAUGGUACUCAAGACCAACAAAGAGUGUUUGCUAAUAACUGGAGAGCAACUAUAGCGGAAAACAUGUGGACAGAUGCUAUG